CAAGUACAUCAAGGUGAUGCAAAACACAGAGAACCCCUUUCUUUAACAGCUGCAGUGAAAAAACUCUUGCCUGAACAGAAUGUUGUUCAAGGUCAUUGCCAUAAUAGCAAGACCUCUCCUUGGAGAUGGGCUGGGGGUCAGAUUGCCCAUGGUCACAUGAAGAAGACGGAUGCAGAAUUCAGCUGUACAUCAUGUGGAGGGGUGGAUGAAGUUCAUGGGGUGUGUCAUGACAAGCUUGGAGGAAACAUUAAUCAAGUAGUUAGACACAAUCGUCACUGUUUUUCUUGGAGAAGACAGAACUGCAAUGGCAAUUCAUUACUCUUUACCCAAAUACAACUAAAUGAGGUGCCAUCUAUUGAUAGUAUAACAUCACUAUCCACAUGGGGUGCCACUCAAAACAUCUGCACCCUUGUUGGGUAGGAAAUUAAAGAGUAAUAAGUUCUCCAGAAAGCAGGGUAGAGUUGUUUGAAUCACUGUUUCCUGGUUACAGUUGGUUGUCUUCAGCCAUGGAGAAAGCUGAGAAGGAAUUCUGGUAAAACCUGAACCACUCAUCUGCCCCGAGAAGAUGAAAUGUGAAAAUAAAUGGCAAUUAUUUCAUAGAAAAGUGAGGAGCGGCAAUGUGAUUCAAGAGUAUGUGGUGAAAAGGCGCAGAGCAACUCUACUGAGGAACAACAUGAAACCUGCUGCUCUCCCUCAGAGAACAGUGAUUUCAAGAAUGACAAUAAGAUCAUAACAUGUUGUGUGGACCUAACUGUAGAUCCUCCAAAGUGCUUUGCAAGAAACAAACCAAGAACACCAAGACAAGGGGGGGAAAUCCAUGUGUAUGAUUUUUU